AGAGUUUGAUCCUGGCUCAGAACGAACGCUGGCGGCAGGCUUAACACAUGCAAGUCGAACGCAUCUUCGGAUGAGUGGCAGACGGGUGAGUAACGCGUGGGAACCUACCUAGUAGUACGGAAUAACUCAGGGAAACUUGUGCUAAUACCGUAUACGCCCUUCGGGGGAAAGAUUUAUCGCUAUUAGAUGGGCCCGCGUUGGAUUAGCUUGUUGGUGAGGUAACGGCUCACCAAGGCUACGAUCCAUAGCUGGUCUGAGAGGAUGAUCAGCCACACUGGGACUGAGACACGGCCCAGACUCCUACGGGAGGCAGCAGUGGGGAAUAUUGGACAAUGGGCGAAAGCCUGAUCCAGCCAUGCCGCGUGAGUGAAGAAGGCCCUAGGGUUGUAAAGCUCUUUCGCUAGGGAAAGAUAAUGACGGG
rnacentral:rRNA from 1 species